rnacentral:rRNA from 1 species
CCUACGGGAGGCAGCAGUGAGGAAUAUUGGUCAAUGGCCGAGAGGCUGAACCAGCCAAGUCGCGUGAGGGAAGAAUGUCCUAUGGAUUGUAAACCUCUUUUGUCAGGGAGCAAAUUCACCCACGUGUGGAUGUUGGAGAGUACCUGAAGAACAAGCAUCGGCUAACUCCGUGCCAGCAGCCGCGGUAAUCCGGAGGAUGCGAGCGUUAUCCGGAUUUAUUGGGUUUAAAGGGUGCGUAAUCGGAUCGUAAAGUUAGGGGGAAAAUUGAGGGGCCAAACCGCUUACCGCAAUUGAAACUGGCGCUCUUGAGUGGAAGAGAAGUAUGCGGAAUGCGUGGUGUAGCGGUGAAAUGCAUAGAUAUCACGCAGAACCCCGAUUGCGAAGGCAGCAGGCCGGCUUCCGACUGACGCUGAAGCACGAAAGCGUGGGGAUCGAACAGGAUUAGAUACCCCAGUAGUC